GCGCCAAACAGCUUUCUCUUCCACGCCAUUCCCCUUCGCCCAUUUCCAAAAAAACAAUCCCCUUCGCCCACCUUAGGGUUUCAGCCAGUAGAGGGCAUAGCGCCGCCGCCGCCGCCCGUAGCUCUUCCCUAGUCGUCGCCGGCCCUAGAACAACGCCAGCCCGGAGCUCCGCCCAUGCUGCCGCAGAGAAGCUCCUCCCUCGUUGCCGCUGCCCCAAAGCUCCGCCGCCGCCGCCGCCCUUAGCCCAAGGCCACCCGAAGCUCCGCCCUCGUUGCCGUCGCUGUUGACUCAACGAUCCGCCCUCCUGCAGCUGUAACCCGGACCACUACUCCGUAGAUCCAUGGCCGACGUCAACGCCCCCGAUCUGCCACCAACUUCAGAAAUCGUCCGCCGCCGCACCCCUCCGCUGCCGCUUUCUCACUGCCAUCUCUUGCCGCCGUGCCACGCUCCUCCACCAGGUCAGUCCCUUCAACCGCGCCAACUACCUACAACGCCGGUCACCGAGCAAGGCUACUGCGAGCGACUGAGCCACUACAUGCCCGGGUUUGCAUCGAUCUGUCUCUUCCUCCAAGGGCUUUUUCUUUGUGUUCUUGUUCAAUUUAGAAGCUUAAGGGAGAAUUUCUGAGUCAACAUGCUAUCCAGUUCAUACCAGUUUGAGAGUGUUCAAAGGGGAAUGAAGAUUGAUGGGGAUUAAAGGAUGUGCCCAAGGAUGAGGACAGGAAGUCACGGCUUCUCAACACUCUGCUGGCCUCUACUCCACCACCAUAACCAUUCUUCUCCACAACCACUUCCAGUGACGCUGCAGCCUAAGGAGAGGGUAAGGACGAGCCCCUUGAUCUCGGCCAUCACCGAGAUCCCACAACGGUCUUAUCCUGACCACGCGGCGCAAAGUAAAGCUGCGUUAUCAUUACCACGGGAAAAGCAGUCGCCGCUUAUGUAGAGGUGCCAGGCGACUACAUAAAAGAAGCACCGAAAGAGAAUCUCUGACGGGAGCCGACAGAGGGCAGCAGUACUUGUUGCAGGGUGCCAGCAAAAGUAAAGUUGUGUUGUCCCUUGCGGUGCCACCCGGAGGGAACCAAGCUGCGUGCCCGGCGGGGCCCUAGGAAGGUGACGUUAGUACUCAGCCCGCAUGUCAGUGUGACAUUGGCGGCCUAUAAAUAGAGCACUACCCCUCUGUGGAGAAGAAGCACUUAGGCAUUUAGGGUUUCCCCCUUCUUCUUCUUCUUCCUCAAGAAUAUAGCUCAAGGAGCGCCAUUGUAGAGCUUGCUUAUCUUGGCUAAUACAACAAAGCAGGAGUAGGAGUCUUACCUCGGCAA